ensembl:lncRNA
AUUUACCAGGUGGUCGCUUGGUGUCCUCCGUUGCAAUUGUUGCGUAAUCUCCAGCUGCAGUACUUUUCCAUUUGCUACUGAGGAGAAACCCAACUGCCACGAAGGAUUUAUCAUCGAAUAGAUAUGUGAAAAACACCUUGAGGAUGAUUCUAAACAACGUUUGCCAUGUUUCUGUCGAUAUUAUGGAGUUAAUUUGGAAAAAAGUUUGGCAUUGUAGUGAAUGAAUUUUCGUUGUUUGUUUUCUUAGCCAAAAGUGAUGAACAAAACGGAGCGAUUUCUCCUACACAAAUAAUCUUUUUGGAAAAAAUGAACAUUUGCUAUCUAACUGAGAGUCUCCUCAUUGAAAACAUCCGAAGUUCUUCAAAGCCAAGCAGGAUGAACAAACGUGACGUUUUUCGCCUACAAAAAUAUUAUUUUUGGAAAAAAGGAACAUUUGCUAUUUAACUGGGAGUCUCCUGAGUGAAAGCAUCUGAAGUUCUUCAAAGAUGAUCAUGGACCAAAUGAAGAUGGUCUGUAAUCCGAGGGGGCUUUGAGUGGAUGAGCUGAAUUGUUUUCUAGGAGCCAGCAGCAAAUGAAAUCUACCUGAUUCAAUUAGGGGCUAACGAGCUCCUCUGACGCUCGGUCCUUUUGAACUUUCAUCUUGAUCACUGAUCGUAAUUACACCCUACGGAGCGAUAACUAGCAUCACACCUUGAUGAGCGACUAAGUUAUUACGUAUCUAUUUUCCCCCCUCUAUUUCUCUCUCAAAUUUUUGUGGGAAUUAAUUAGCGUCGGUUUAAUCUGAUAAGGGGCUCGAUGCUGCAGGGGCUCGACAUUUCAGGAUUUUGUCAAAGUUGUGGUAGAAAAAUCCAUUGUUUCCUCUUAAUUAGUGGUAUCAAGUAUACCAGGUGAGUCUAUGGUAUUGUUAUGAGUAAAGAGCCAUAGCGCUAUGUCUUAAUUGGUGUCUAAUUUCAGAUUUUAUAAUGCCAUGGUCUUAUCCAUACAACAGAUAGGAAAACUAG